GCCUUUUGUAGAAUGAACCGGCGAGUUACGAUUUGAUGCAAGGUUAAGCAGUAAAUGUGGAGCCGUAGCGAAAGCGAGUCUGAAUAGGGCGUUUAGUAUUUGGUCGUAGACCCGAAACCAGGUGAUCUACCCUUGGUCAGGUUGAAGUUCAGGUAACACUGAAUGGAGGACCGAACCGACUUACGUUGAAAAGUGAGCGGAUGAACUGAGGGUAGCGGAGAAAUUCCAAUCGAACCUGGAGAUAGCUGGUUCUCUCCGAAAUAGCUUUAGGGCUAGCCUCAAGUGAUGAUUAUUGGAGGUAGAGCACUGUUUGGACGAGGGGCCCCUCUCGGGUUACCGAAUUCAGACAAACUCCGAAUGCCAAUUAAUUUAACUUGGGAGUCAGAACAUGGGUGAUAAGGUCCGUGUUCGAAAGGGAAACAGCCCAGACCACCAGCUAAGGUCCCAAAAUAUAUGUUAAGUGGAAAAGGAUGUGGCGUUGCCCAGACAACUAGGAUGUUGGCUUAGAAGCAGCCAUCAUUUAAAGAGUGCGUAAUAGCUCACUAGUCGAGUGACACUGCGCCGAAAAUGUACCGGGGCUAAACAUAUUACCGAAGCUGUGGAUUGUCCUUUGGACAAUGGUAGGAGAGCGUUCUAAGGGCGUUGAAGCAUGAUCGUAAGGACAUGUGGAGCGCUUAGAAGUGAGAAUGCCGGUGUGAGUAGCGAAAGACGGGUGAGAAUCCCGUCCACCGAUUGACUAAGGUUUCCAGAGGAAGGCUCGUCCGCUCUGGGUUAGUCGGGUCCUAAGCUGAGGCCGACAGGCGUAGGCGAUGGAUAACAGGUUGAUAUUCCUGUACCACCUAUAAUCGUUUUAAUCGAUGGGGGGACGCAGUAGGAUAGGCGAAGCGUGCGAUUGGAUUGCACGUCUAAGCAGUAAGGCUGAGUAUUAGGCAAAUCCGGUACUCAUUAAGGCUGAGCUGUGAUGGGGAGAAGACAUUGUGUCUUCGAGUCGUUGAUUUCACACUGCCGAGAAAAGCCUCUAGAUAGAAAAUAGGUGCCCGUACCGCAAACCGACACAGGUAGUCAAGAUGAGAAUUCUAAGGUGAGCGAGCGAACUCUCGUUAAGGAACUCGGCAAAAUGACCCCGUAACUUCGGGAGAAGGGGUGCUCUUUAGGGUUAACGCCCAGAAGAGCCGCAGUGAAUAGGCCCAAGCGACUGUUUAUCAAAAACACAGGUCUCUGCUAAACCGUAAGGUGAUGUAUAGGGGCUGACGCCUGCCCGGUGCUGGAAGGUUAAGAGGAGUGGUUAGCUUCUGCGAAGCUACGAAUCGAAGCCCCAGUAAACGGCGGCCGUAACUAUAACGGUCCUAAGGUAGCGAAAUUCCUUGUCGGGUAAGUUCCGACCCGCACGAAAGGCGUAACGAUUUGGGCACUGUCUCAACGAGAGACUCGGUGAAAUCAUAGUACCUGUGAAGAUGCAGGUUACCCGCGACAGGACGGAAAGACCCCGUGGAGCUUUACUGUAGCCUGAUAUUGAAAUUCGGCACAGCUUGUACAGGAUAGGUAGGAGCCUUUGAAACGUGAGCGCUAGCUUACGUGGAGGCGCUGGUGGGAUACUACCCUAGCUGUGUUGGCUUUCUAACCCGCACCACUUAUCGUGGUGGGAGACAGUGUCAGGCGGGCAGUUUGACUGGGGCGGUCGCCUCCUAAAAGGUAACGGAGGCGCUCAAAGGUUCCCUCAGAAUGGUUGGAAAUCAUUCAUAGAGUGUAAAGGCAUAAGGGAGCUUGACUGCGAGACCUACAAGUCGAGCAGGGUCGAAAGACGGACUUAGUGAUCCGGUGGUUCCGCAUGGAAGGGCCAUCGCUCAACGGAUAAAAGCUACCCCGGGGAUAACAGGCUUAUCUCCCCCAAGAGUUCACAUCGACGGGGAGGUUUGGCACCUCGAUGUCGGCUCAUCGCAUCCUGGGGCUGUAGUCGGUCCCAAGGGUUGGGCUGUUCGCCCAUUAAAGCGGUACGCGAGCUGGGUUCAGAACGUCGUGAGACAGUUCGGUCCCUAUCCGUCGUGGGCGUAGGAAAUUUGAGAGGAGCUGUCCUUAGUACGAGAGGACCGGGAUGGACAUACCUCUGGUGUACCAGUUGUCGUGCCAACGGCAUAGCUGGGUAGCUAUGUGUGGACGGGAUAAGUGCUGAAAGCAUCUAAGCAUGAAGCCCCCCUCAAGAUGAGAUUUCCCAACUUCGGUUAUAAGAUCCCUCAAAGAUGAUGAGGUUAAUAGGUUCGAGGUGGAAGCAUGGUGACAUGUGGAGCUGACGAAUACUAA
rnacentral:rRNA from 1 species